CGAGGGCUGGAAUUCAGUUCGGACGGCCCCUUAAAGACCCAGACAGGGGACGCCUCUGGUUUCAGCAGCUUACUCCGCUGAGCUAUUGAUUGCAGGCUGCAACAAUCCCUCCGGGUGAUUUGUGUGGAAAGUGAAUCCGCGCUGGCUGGGCGUUCACAGAGGCGCAACAGCCGCAACGCCAUCCAAUUAUUGCCGGUCGUCCCCUCCAACACCGCUCUCCACCUAUAUACUCCUUUCUCUGCCCAUCUCCACUUCCCCCCACCCACUUUUCUCAGAGCGGACCGACCUACCUACUCCUUCUCAGCCCGUCUCCGCUUCCCCCCACCCACUUUCCUCAGAGCGGUCGGAGCCGAGGGGGCGGGGGCUCCCUCCCGGGAGCGUUUCUAGAGCUCGGAGGCAGCUAGUAGGGGUUUUAUUGUCCACAUGUUUAAAGUCUAAUAGAAAAAAAAUCACUGGAUGUGAAGUUGGGGGACAGAGCCAAGUCUACAUCUACAUCCUCACGUUGGGGACCUUAGGGCACCACUUUCGGAUAAAAACAUAGACCUGAAUGGCAUCAUCCAGUAUCCAAGGAAACCAUGAAUAUCUUUUAUCUUCUACACAUACUUCAGUUAAAUCAAAUACAGAAACAAUUAGAAGAGAAGUCAAUGAUAUCUUGUGCCAAAUCGCCUGGGAUAAAUCGGCCUUGAAAAUGUUGAAUUGCUUCGAAGAUUUUCACUUCCAUCAGGUGGUUUUCUAUGAGACAGUGGAGCAUCCAGAG